CAGUAGCCGCGGUAAUACGGAGGGUGCAAGCGUUAAUCGGAAUUACUGGGCGUAAAGCGCACGCAGGCGGUCUGACAAGUCAGAUGUGAAAUCCCCGGGCUUAACCUGGGAACUGCAUUUGAAACUGUCAGGCUGGAGUCUUGUAGAGGGGGGUGGAAUUCCAGGUGUAGCGGUGAAAUCCGUAGAGAUCUGGAGGAAUACCGGUGGCGAAGGCGGCCCCCUGGACAAAGACUGACGCUCAGGUGCGAAAGCGUGGGGAGCAAACAGGAUUAGAUACCCGCGUAGUCCCUGUCUCUUAUAU
rnacentral:rRNA from 1 species